GACGAACGCUGGCGGCGUGCUUAACACAUGCAAGUCGAACGGAAAGGCCCUGCUUUUGUGGGGUGCUCGAGUGGCGAACGGGUGAGUAACACGUGAGUAACCUGCCCUUGACUUUGGGAUAACUUCAGGAAACUGGGGCUAAUACCGGAUAGGAGCUCCUGCUGCAUGGUGGGGGUUGGAAAGUUUCGGCGGUUGGGGAUGGACUCGCGGCUUAUCAGCUUGUUGGUGGGGUAGUGGCUUACCAAGGCUUUGACGGGUAGCCGGCCUGAGAGGGUGACCGGCCACAUUGGGACUGAGAUACGGCCCAGACUCAUACGGGAGGCAGAAGGGGGGAAUAUUGCACAAUGGGCGGAAGCCUGAUGCAGCAACGCCGCGUGCGGGAUGACGGCCUUCGGGUUGUAAACCGCUUUCGCCUGUGACGAAGCGUGAGUGACGGUAAUGGGUAAAGAAGCACCGGCUAACUACGUG
rnacentral:rRNA from 1 species